UGACCUCAGAUCAGACGUGGCGACCCAAAGAAUUUUAGCAUAUUACUAAGUGGAGGAAAAAAAACUAACCAGGAUUCCCUCAGUAAUGGUGAGUGAGGAGGGAAGAGGCCAGCACCAAAUCCCUGCCCUGGCGAUGGGUGCAGGGUAAUGUGAUGUACGGAAGUUCUUCUCCCCGGCACUGCCCAGGAGGCCCAAGUCCUUGUGAUCGAGGCUCAGCCCACAGACGGUGUGAGGAUGCUGGAUGCACCUGGUGCAUCAGGAUCAGGUCUUCCCAAAAUUGGGUUGUUUGUGAAUACAGCCUAAAGUGGGUGGUAAACUCCAUCUAAGGCUAAACACUAGCAUGAGACCGAUAGUGGACAAGUACUGUAAGGGAAAGUUGAAAAGAACUUUGAAGAGAGAGUUCAAGAGGGUGUGGAACCGUUCAGAGGUAAACGGGUGGGGUUCGUGCGGUCCAUCCAGAGAGUAAAAUUUGGUGGCCUCACCAGCUGCCCAGGUGAGGUGGAUCCCCCUCCAGGGGGUGGGGGACUGUCCCCAGGCACGCUGGCCACCAUCGGGCGCAUUGUUCUGUGAUGGUGUGCUGCAACUAGCUCCGGGUCAGCUGUAAAGGCUGCGUGGAUGGGGGUCUCCUCCCCGUAGGGGUGUGUUACAGCCUACAGUAUCAGCCCUCAUCAUGCGCAGGGGUCGUGGGAGAUGACUGCUUCUGCACCCUCCCUCGCCCUAGAACCAGUGGCCGGGGUUCCCGGUUGGACUGUUGAUAUGGGACAGACUGUCCUCAGUGUGGCCUGACAGUGUCUUGCCACAGGGACAGUGGGCUCACCUCGGGUGCUCGGGCUCAGCGGUGAUGUCAGUAACCCACCCCUCCCGUCUUGUAACAUGAACAAAUGAGUCUAACAGUUGUGUGAGUCUGAAGGUGGGCAGGAGACCCCAUGGCUCAAUAAAAGUGAAGGCUGGUGCACACUGACUGAGCUGGGAUCCCCCUGCCCCACAUGUGGGGUAUAUCGCUGGCCCAUCUCACCCAUCCCUUCAGGGAGGUGGGGCAUGAGUGCAGCUGGUGGGACCUGAAAGAUUGUGAACUAUGCCUGGGCAGGAAAAGCCAGAGGAAACUCUGGUGGAGAUCAGUAGUGGUCUUGAUGUGUAAAUCAGUCAUCCAACCUUGGUAUAGGGGCGAAAGACUAAUCGAACCAGCUGGUUCCCUCCGAAGUUUCCCUCAGGAUUGCUGAUGCUUGGCAGAUGCAGUUUUAUCUGGUAAAGUGAAUGAUUAGAGGUCUUGGGGACGAAACAAUCUCAACCUAUUCUCAAACUUUAAAUGGGUAAGAAGCCCAAUUUGCUGGCUUGGAGACAGGCAUGGAAUGCGAGUGCCCAGUGGGCCAUUUUUGAUAAGCAGAACUGGCGCUGCUAGAUGAACUGAACGCCAGGUUAAGGUGCCUGAUGACAAUGAUCAUUAGACCCCAGAAAAGGCAUUGGUUGAUACAGACAGCAGGACUGUGGCCAUUGAAGUCAGAAACUGAUAAGGAGUGUGUAACAAGUGACUUCCAAAUCAGCUAGCAUGAAAAUGGAUGCUGCUGGAGCACUGGGCCCAUACCUGGCUUCCGCCAGAACUGGGGGCCAAGGGGGCUAUGCUGUGUUGAGUAUGAGGGCCACCAUGGUAGCAGUGAAGCCCAGGGCGAGGGCCUGGGUGGAGCCACCGUGGGUACAGAUUUUGGUGGUAGUAACAAGUAUUCAAAUGAGAGCUUUUAAGGCUGAAGUAGAGCAAGGUUCCAUGUAAACAGCAGUUGAACAUGGGUCAGUCGGUCCUGAGAGAUAGGCGAGUGCUGUUCCGAAGGGACGGGGAUAGCAUCUGUCGCCCUCAACUGAUCAAAAGGGAGUCGGGUUCAGAUCACCAAAUCUGGAGCAGUGGAGACUGGUGCCUCAUGGUGUCCAGUGUAGUGACACACACUAUCCCAGAGAAGCUGGCGGGAACCCCUGGGAGAGUUCUCUUUUCUUUGUAAAGGGCAGGAUGCCCUGGAAUGGGUUCACACUGAGAGAAGGGUCUAUGCCCUGGAAAGCAUCACGGUUCAAGCGGCAUCAGGUGAGCUUUUGUUGGCCCUUGAAAAUCUCUGGGAGAGCAUGUAAGUCUCCCACCGGGCCAUACCCAUAUCCACAGCAGGUCUCCAAGGUGAGCAGCCUGUGGCAUGUUAGAACAAUGUAGGUAAGGGAAGUUGGCAAGCCAGAUCUGUAACUUCAGAAAAGGAUUGGCUCUAAGGGCUGGGUCGGUUUGGCUUGGGUGUGAAGCGAGGCUGGGUACGCACUGCGAAUAGAUAAGAGUUCACAGUCCCCCCUCCCGGGGGGUUGGGAGACAUCGGCAGUGACUCUGGAAAUGUGUUGGCCCUUCCUGUGGAUCACCCCUGCUGUGGAGGGUGCCGGUCCCGACUGGCAUCCCGCAUCAUCUGGCAUCUAGUUACUGACUUAGAACUGGUGCUGACCGGGGGAAUCCGACUGUUUAAAACAAAGCAUCAUGAAGGCCCAAGAUGGGUGUUGAUGUCAUGUGAUUUCUGUCCAGUGCUCUGAAUGUCAAAGUGAAGAAAUUCAAUGAAGCAUAGGUAAAUGGUGGGAGAAACUGUGACUCUAAGGUAGGUAAAUGCCUCAUCAUCUAAUUAGUGACAUGUGUGAAUGGAUGAACGAGAUUCCCACUGUCCCUACCUACUAUCUAGCAAAACCACAGCCAAGGGAGUGGGCUUGGCAGAAUCAGCUGGGAAAGAAGACCCUGUUGAGCUUGACUCUAGUCUAGCACUGUAAAGAGACAUGAGAGGUGUAGAAUAAGUGGGAGGCCUUGGCCACUGGCAAAAUACCACUAUUCUUAUCAUUUUUUCACUUAUCUGGUGAAGUGGGGGGGCAAGACCCAUUGGGGCUCUCGGUUCUGGCUACAAGCACCCUGGCGCCCAGGCACAACCAGCUCCGGGGACAGUGUCAGGUGGGGAAUUUGACUGGGAUGGUACACCUGUCAAACAGUAAUGCAGGUUUCCUAAGACAAACUCAGGGAAGACAAAAACCUCCCAUGAAGCAGAAGGGCAAAAGUUUGCUUGAUCUUGAUUUUCAGUAUGAAUAAAGACCAUGAAAGUGGGGCCUCAUGAUCCUUUUGGCUUUUUGGGUUUUAAGCAGGAGGUGUCAGAAAAGUUACCACAGGGAUAAUUGGCUUGUGGCAGCCAAGCGUUCAUAGCACCAUCGAUUCUUGAUCCUUUGAUGUUGACUCUUCAUAUCAUUGUGAAGCAGAAUUCACCAAGCUUUGGAUUGUAAACCCACUAAUAGAGAACGUGAGCUGGGUUUAAACCGUCAUGAGACAGGUUAGUUUUACCCUACUGAAGAUGUGUUGUUGCGGUAGUAAUCCUGCUCAGUAUGAGAGGAACCGCAGGUGCAGACAUUUGGUAUAUGUGCUUGGCUGAGGAGUCAAUGGUGCAAAUCUACCAUCUGUGGGAUUAUAACUGAAUACCUCUAAGUCAGAAUCCCUCCUAAAUGUAAUGAUACCGCAGUGCUGCGGAUCUCCGGUUUGCCAGGGAUAGCCGGCCACAAGGCCAGCAAGGGGCAUCGCUUGUCACUGGGUUGGAGUGCAGACAGAAGGGGGCUGCCUCUCUCUCCAGCAGUGCACACCAUAUUCAUGGGGAACCGGGUGCUAAAUCAUUUGUAAACGACCUGAUUCUGGGUCAGGGUUUCAUAUGUAGCAAAGCAGCAAAAAUCUGCAAUCUAUUGAAAGUCAGCCCUUGAGCUAAGCUUUUGU